GGGAUACCACCCUUGUAGUACUGGGACUCUAACCAUAGGCCAUGAAUCUGGUCUUGGGACACUGUCAGGUGGGCAGUUUGACUGGGGCGGUCGCCUCCCAAAAGGUAACGGAGGCGCUCAAAGGUUCGCUCAGUACGGUCGGAAAUCGUACGUAGAGUGUAAAGGCAAAAGAGAGCUUGAUUGCAAGACAUACAGGUCGAGCAA
rnacentral:rRNA from 1 species